rnacentral:tRNA from 1 species
UAAAGAUUAGUUUAUGUAGAACGUUAGUUUGUGGUGCUAGAAGAAAAAUAUUUAUCUUUAU